rnacentral:rRNA from 1 species
CCUACGGGUGGCAGCAGUGAGGGAUAUUGGUCAAUGGGCGCGAGCCUGAACCAGCCAAGUAGCGUGAAGGAUGACUGCCCUACGGGUUGUAAACUUCUUUUAUAAAGGAAUAAAGUGAGGCACGUGUGCCUUUUUGUAUGUACUUUAUGAAUACGGAUCGGCUAACUCCGUGCCAGCAGCCGCGGUAAUACGGAGGAUCCGAGCGUUAUCCGGAUUUAGUGGGGUUAAAGGGGGCGUAGAUGGGUUGUUAAGUCAGUUGUGAAAAUUUGCGGCUCAACCGUAAAAUUGCAAUUGAUAAUGGCAGCCUUGAGUAAAGUUGAGGUAGGCGGAAUUCGCGGUGUAGCGGUGAAAUGCUUAGAUAUCACGAAGAACUCCGAUGGCGAAGGCAGCCUACUAAACUGCCACUGACAUUGAUGCUCGAAAGUGUGGGUAUCAAACAGGAUUAGAUACCCGGGUAGUC